CCCUGGAGCAAUUGACCAUCUUCACAGCACUGCAUUUAUAACAGUGGUACUUAUUGAUAUUAGCUUAUUAUAUUCUGAGCGAAGCGAGGAAUGUAUUGUUUUUACAAUGGUGUUUAUUUAUUUUUUCUGUGCAUAACUUUUCUACCAGAAGUGUGCUUAGAUUUUCAAGUGUAACACAUUUGACAAAUUUGACAAAGGUAGUAUUUGAAGAACAUUAUUUUUUUUAUUUUCCCAGGGGUUUCUUAUAAUAAAUAUGAAAAUG